GUUUGGGGGUGCUGGUGGUAAUUCCUUGAAGCACCUUGUGGAACUUGAGCUCAGAGGUCUGCCGGUGCAUGCGUGGGAGACUUCGGUGGUGCAACAAUUGAUCAACCCCCAUGCGUGCAUUUCCCAGGUUCUGCCCGGCACGGUGGAAGUCCGGAGUCUGGAGGCCUUUCGAUGCCUUGCCUGGUGCAGCGACCCUGAACGUAUUCCAGCUACUAAAGACCUCUGGAUCACUGAACCAGACCAGGCUUCGGCUGCUGAAGGGAAGAAGGCCCUGGUGUACCCGGUGCAAAUUCGUUGGGUUCCUACUGAUUUGAGCCUCUUGACUGGUGAUCCACCACUGCUGAUUGGAGGUGACGACCAGGACAAAUCUGAUACCCCCCCUUCACGGAGAAGAUGUAGUGACAACCCUCCACGUGCUCAACAUGAUGCAAUCAAUGACGUUCCUGGCAACAAGACCCACACUCAACGGCGGCCGGUUCAUGACCGAU
rnacentral:misc_RNA from 1 species